UGGGGAAUUUUGGACAAUGGGGGAAACCCUGAUCCAGCCAUCCCGCGUGUGCGAUGAAGGCCUUCGGGUUGUAAAGCAUUUUUGGCAGGAAAGAAACGUCGCGGGUUAAUACCCGCGAACUGAACGGUACCUGCAGAAUAAGCACCGGCUAACUACGUGCCAGCAGCCGCGGUAAUACAUAGGGUGCAAGCGUUAAUCGGAAUUACUGGGCGUAAAGCGUGCGCAGGCGGUUCGGAAAGAAAGAUGUGAAAUCCCAGAGCUUAACUUUGGAACUGCAUUUUUAACUACCGGGCUAGAGUGUGUCAGAGGGAGGUGGAAUUCCGCGUGUAGCAGUGAAAUGCGUAGAUAUGCGGAGGAACACCGAUGGCGAAGGCAGCCUCCUGGGAUAACACUGACGCUCAUGCACGAAAGCGUGGGGAGCAAACAGGAUUAGAUACCCUGGUAGUCCACGCCCUAAACGAUGUCAACUAGCUAGUUGAGGCCUUCGGGCCCUUGGUAGCGCAGCUAACGCGUGAAGUUGACCGCCUGGGGAGUACGGUCGCAAGAUU
rnacentral:rRNA from 1 species